CCCUCUCAUAUCAAGAGGACUUUCGACAAGAGAAAAAAAAUUACUCCCGAAAGCUCAAAAGUCUCUUAUACCCUUGAAGAAUCAUCAAGCUGCCAAAUAGUCGAUUCUUCAUCAACCUCAAGCCUAGAAGUUGUCAAAUCCCGAAGAGUCACCAAGCUGCCAAAUAACCGACAUCUUCACCAACUACAAGACGAAGAGCAACCACCACGUGGAACUGCUCGUGGCCCAAACCCGAUCAACAUCAAGCCUCUACGGCCCUUGAUCAACCUUUGUUUUCAAGCCCUUCAACAAAUCAAAACUUCUACCAAGUUCUUCAACAAGCUUAUGGAGAAUCAACAAACACCAAACACACGUGCCGAUUCAUCCGCUAUCAAGCCGAAUAAUGUUCACCACGUGACACCUCUCGUGGCCCAAAUUCGACCAAGAUCAAGCCUCUACGGCCCUUGGCCAACUUUCUUCUACAAAUCGUCAACACGAUAAGAAGUUCAAAUUACAAUAGUUCAAUUCAAGAUCAAGUGCUUGUCACCCUUCGAUCAAAUCAACGUCGGAGAUCGAAUCAGAUGACAUUCUUGUUAAAAGAAUACCCACAGAGAUUGUAACCCGUAAAUUCAUCGAUACAAAUAUAUUAUUUUGUACACGUGUCUUUCUGUUAUUCGUUGCAGAUUAUUUUGUGUUUACAGUUCAAUUUAAGCAUGAUAGUGAUGAAAAGGAAAAGAGAAAGAAAAUGCUAGAAAUAUAUAUUUUUUAAUUAUAAAAGAAAGACAAAAAAAUUUUCUCUUAAUAAAAAAACAAAAUAAUUUAGAGCCAUUGAAUUUGGAAGGAUAAGAUUGUAUUUUUUCUUAAGAACGACAUGACAUAAUCUUUUUAAUUGGUGAUGUGUUUAGGUGACAUAGCAUGCCACUUAAGAUUAAAGUCAUAAAUCUUAAGCCUUAUUAAGGCUAAAAAUCAUUUUCCUAAGGGAGUACUAACGUGUUAAUUAAAGGCUUACAAACCGGCCGGGUUUCUAAUAUGUAUUGGUAAAGGAUUGGGAUUCAGUUAUAUACAUGAUUUAGGAUUGUUUAAAUCGUUUCAAAAUAAUAAGCAGAUAUAGGGUUUAGGGUUUAGUAUUAGGGUUUCUAAUAUGCCACCAAUAUCUUGUAUGACAUGCAGCUGUAACCUUUCCAUUAUUCUCUAGUAUGUAAUCGACAAGCAUGCAUGCAUUCACUACGUACUUGAGGUGUUUAUUGCGCAAGAAAUAGCAAUUAAGAGUGAAUGAUAUCAUUAGAGGCUUUAAUCGUCAAUAAUAAUGUGUGUAUAUAUUCUGAACUAGUAGCCUUCCUCUUUCCAGUUGACGAUACAACCGCUUCCGGCAACCAAAUCAUCUUGUACAGUCCAUCAUUUCUUGUCGCAACGCCUGCCGCCGCGUGCAGUGGCCGCACCAAGUUGCAAACAGACGUAACCAUAAUCCGUGUCGAGAUCAGGAGCGGCACCAACCAUGACUAGCUGCCAUUUGAAGCCGCAAAUUAGCUUCCGGAGAUAGCAUCGAUUGUGGCCAUGUAUAUGUAUAUUGAAUGAGUGAAGAAAACUAUUGGAAGUUGAAGCAUGAUUUGUACUCUGAAAGUAUGGCUGGGGUUCUGGCUAUUAUUCUUAGGAUUUCCAGCUGUUCCUAUUACUGUACACUUUAUCUUUUACUUUGUACUUUACUUGUAUAGCUUCUCUUUAUAGCUUAUUCUUAUGUCCUUGUUGUCUGCUUCAAGAGAGGGUUUGGGUGUAAGAGUCUGUAAAGGAAAAGGAGAUCUGUUUUCAUCU
rnacentral:lncRNA from 1 species